UGGGGAAUUUUGGACAAUGGGCGAAAGCCUGAUCCAGCAAUGCCGCGUGUGUGAAGAAGGCCUUCGGGUUGUAAAGCACUUUUGUCCGGAAAGAAAUCCUUGGCUCUAAUACAGUCGGGGGAUGACGGUACCGGAAGAAUAAGCACCGGCUAACUACGUGCCAGCAGCCGCGGUAAUACGUAGGGUGCAAGCGUUAAUCGGAAUUACUGGGCGUAAAGCGUGCGCAGGCGGUUUGCUAAGACCGAUGUGAAAUCCCCGGGCUAACCUGGGAACUGCAUUGGUGACUGGCAGGCUAGAGUAUGGCAGAGGGGGGUAGAAUUCCACGUGUAGCAGUGAAAUGCGUAGAGAUGUGGAGGAAUACCGAUGGCGAAGGCAGCCCCUGGGCCAAUACUGACGCUCAUGCACGAAAGCGUGGGGAGCAAACAGGAUUAGAUACCCUGGUAGUCCAGUGCCCUAAACGAUGUCAACUAGUUGUUGGGGACUUCAUUUCCUUAGUAACGUAGCUAACGCGUGAAGUUAACCGCCUGGGGAGUACGGUCGCAAGAUUAAAACUUAAAUGAAUUG
rnacentral:rRNA from 1 species